CCGGGUGUAGCUCAGUUUGGUAGAGCCCUCGCUUUGGGAGCGAGUUGUCGCAGGUUCAAAUCCUGCUACCCGGACCA
rnacentral:tRNA from 1 species